AAAGCAUGAAUCUCUGGUAAGCAGUUCCUACACCACAAAGCAUAAAUCAAAAUUAGGGCCUGUAUCAGAUGAAAGUAAAUAAAAACCAAGAGAAGAAGAAAAAUUAAGGCUCUAUGAAUGACAUAGGUAGCAUUGUUGUACUUGUUCAGAAGCCUUCAAUCGCCACACUCUCUAAUUGAUUUGUUGAUCCCCUUGUUGACUUUGAACACAAAAUCUGAGCAAAAAGAAAACACACACACACACACACAAAACAAUUGAACACAUAGAAAGCAUGAAAGUUCUUAGUAAGGACGAUGAGACCGUAAACAACAUAGUAAGGACGAUUAAGAAGAAAACAACAUAGUAAGGACGAUUAAUGAAAGGUAGAAAGAAGUUUAACGCUUGUAAUUUUUUACCUCCUUCAUCUUUGUGCCUUCUCAAUCUCAAAUCAGCUUUGAAGUCCUCUAUGUCCUGACGCAUCCUCAUCCUCCUGAAUUACCAUCUAUCAAUUUGUAACCAUGAUGAGAACCAACAACAACAAAUUAAAUCAAUUUUCAUAAAUUCUCCUCCCUUUAUUCCACUUUCUAUCUGAUUCUCGUGUCACGAACUUCACAAACCACGCCAAAUAGGAAAUAAAGACUCUUUCGAUUUUACACCUUGAUAAACAAAUAGAGUGAAAUUUUUUACACCCUAAACUGUAAAGGAAAAGCACAGAUAAUGAAACUGUCUGUGUAUAUGCAAAUCGAAAGGAUUUUCAUUCAGAAUAGAAUUACUGGACAAAUAACAAAGAAAAAAAUAUGGAAAAUUAAACAGGCUGGGAAAAUAUAUCACCUCCAUGGUCAGUGUUAAAGAAAGAAUAAAAAAUAUGGCGGUUGCGCACGCGCGGUGGUGGUUUUUUCUUCUGAGGGCAAUUCGUGGCGAAAAACAGGGCAUUCCCCUUGUGGUAGAAAGUGGCAGAUGAGCUUGAAAAUGAAAAAUAAAGGUUUGAUUUCAGCGAGAGGAAAUCCAAGUCGAG
rnacentral:lncRNA from 1 species